AGGGAUAUAGUUGUGCGGCAUAACACCAGGAUCUCAAACUGGUACCGAGGGUUCGAGUCCUUCUAUCCCUG
rnacentral:tRNA from 1 species